rnacentral:rRNA from 1 species
ACGAACGCUGGCGGCGGGCCUAACACAUGCAAGUCGAACGCACUCGACCUUCGGGAAGCUAGUAAAGUGGCGCAAGGGUGAGUAACACGUGAAUAAUCUGCCCUCGAGAUCGGGAUAACCUGAGGAAACUUAGGCUAAUACCGGAUAAGACCACAUUUCAUAUGGAAUGUGGGAAAAGGAGUCUCAAUCUUCACUCGAGGAUGAGUUCGCGGACCAUUAGCUUGUUGGUGAGAUAAAAGCUCACCAAGGCAACGAUGGUUAGCCGGCCUGAGAGGGCGAUCGGCCACACUGGAACUGAGACACGGUCCAGACUCCUACGGGAGGCAGCAGUGGGGAAUCUUAGACAAUGGGGGCAACCCUGAUCUAGCCAUGCCGCGUGAGUGACG